rnacentral:tRNA from 1 species
GCGGGGUUGCCGGAGUGGCCAAACGGGACCGGCUCAAGACCGGUUCGCUUAGUGCGUACGCAGGUUCGAAUCCUGCACCCCGCA